rnacentral:piRNA from 1 species
UUGUCAUACCUGGACAGUUGUGGA